AGCCGGGAAGAGAGUCCACAUCAGGAACUGAACCAGCUGGCACCCUGAUCUUGGACUUUCCAUCCUUCACGACUGUGAGAAACAAAUAUCUGCUGUUUGAGACACCCAAACUGCGGUGAGAGGAUUUGAGUUUCCCCGUGGGAAGGAUUGGCCCUAUUUAGAAUUCAGGCUACAUGGUUCUGUUCUCUGAUGGGCUCAAGAAAACUGAUGAUUUAAUGUGAUCAAAGUACCUACAUUGUCAGAGUUACAUUCUCUGCAGCAUUCUUCAUCUUAGGUGGAAGCAGAAUCCCACCUUUUUAAGAGAUUAACUAUAACACAAGGCUCUGAACUGAGAGAAAGAACGUGGGGGAGUAAGGAAGGAAUGAAGGGAGGAAGGAGAGGAGUCUGCAGUACAGAAACAAUAAGUGACUGCUACAAGAUCGUAGAGAAGAAACGUAAACGGUGGAAACAGUUGGAAAAUAGGUGCUUGAUUCUGAGUUAUGAGUGCUCUCCAUUCUACAAAGAUAUUGGAAAUGGCUUGA